rnacentral:rRNA from 1 species
CGGCGGAAUGUUGCGUAAAGGGAAAGGUCGUAUUCAAACCCUGCAACCACACGAACUCUAAGUAGGCCACGAUAGGCCGGUUCCUAGCUAACGUCGGGAAAAAUCCAUGGAGGGUGUAAGACCCGUGUGGGCGUGUGUCAAUGUUGCAUGGGUUCGGCCUCUUCUCUGAGAGUCGCGUUGCUUGGGCAUGCAGCGCUAAGCAGGUCGUAAACUCGAUCUAAGGCUAAAUAUUUCCACAAGACCGAUAGCAAACAAGUACCUUGAGGGAAAGUUGAAAAGCACUCUGAAGAGAGAGUCAAAAGACCGUGAAACCGUUCAGAGUAUAAGCCCAUGGCGCUUGGAAAGGCCCCCGGAGCGUAAUGCACAUUACCUGUACAUAACCAUAUGGAGUUCGUUAGGCCUUGAUAAUUCGUAUCGGGCCAAUCUGCCGGGGGGACGUCGUUGCGUUUGAAUAUGUAUUCUUGCGUGCACGUCUUCUUAUGGCUGAGCGUUCUGGCUUUGGCUCUAUAGCUCCGGUAAGCCCACCACAGUUCGUUGUGAGGUCACCCAUAGGCUCAAACUGUCGAUCCGUGUGUCCGGCUCCAUGCAAUUAAUGAGGUUGUCUGUUGGAGAGAGGAAUUCCUCCUCUCUCUCCUUCCUCUCAUUGGCGCAUGUGUGUCGUUCGCAGGCGCAACCCGAGUAUAACCUGGUAUGAUCCUCAUGCGACGAUCUGAUUCUGACCGAGGUCUAAUUGCUAAUGGCUCUGCUCCUCGUCGAGCUAAGCUAGUACAACAACGUGGGGUCCUCUGGAUUACGUGUUUACUUAUUGGCAAGAUCCCGUUGCUGCAAUGGUGUGACAUCGUGUGGUGAAUAGUCCGGCACCAUCGGUCACGUCUCGAAACACGGGCCAAGGAGUAUAGCAUGUGUGCAAGUCUAAGGGUGUCACAAAACCUGCAGGCGAAGUGAAAGCAAAGUGUGGCGAGUACGCCUUAUGCACUCUCGUCAGCUGUGUGGCAGUUUACUGUUGCCUGGUUUAAACAGAGCUGAUCCUGGCCAGUGACUCAAUAGUCUCAAGGCGGGCGCAAGCUCCGGGCUCAUAUUUCACACUGGUGCGUUAAUUUGUGCUGUGUUGUGAGCACCGUGGAGCAUGCAUGCUAUAACCCGAAAGAUAGUGAACUAUGCCUGGCGAGGGCGAAGCCCCAGGAAACUGGGGUGGAGG